rnacentral:lncRNA from 1 species
GGGUGAAUAGUUAUUCACAAUAUUAUUGCAGAUCAGAACACUCAGGCUUUCAAGGAAGUGGCCAUUAUAAGGCAUCCACGUAUUGGUGAAUAUGCGUUUGGCUUCAUCACUUCAUCUGUCACCCUCCAGGUUUGCCAUCACUUUCAUGGCUGAUGCCACCUUUUUCUAAGCUUAAAAAGAAGUGAACGUUAAUUUUAUGCUUCUUUUUCAAACUCGCAUAUUUUACAAACAAAACUUGCCAUAGAGCAGAUCACACGCUUUUAAAAAAAAAAAAAAAAGUAACUUUUAAGGCUUAGCAGACAUGCUCUAUAUCAUCUCCUCGAUUAGAAAAUCUGUUUGAACCUUUUCUUAAAAUAAUGCUAUUGCUGAUUUGGUUUUUGUUACACACUAAAUUUUUGUUAUCUGGUUCAUUGUCUUAUGCUGAAUCUUCAUGUAAAUAAAUCUUUUAUGUUGUUUUAGGAGAAACGACCUUGAAUAUUUGAUUUUAUGGUAUUCAAAAUGGUUUGAAGAUUCCACUUUUUGGCAUCAGUUUUUGGACAAUUCUAAAUAUUUAACUCCUUUUCCAUUUCUCUCGAAGCAACAAGCAUGCAUGUCCUAUUUGUAAAACGACAUUUAAGUAACAACAGGAUUGACCAAUCAAAUAUGCAAGAACAUUUUCACCUGUAAAAGAAGAGGCUGACUUUACAUUUGCUUGCUGGCUGCAUUAUAAUCUUGAUUUCGAUUUAGAAUUCUUUAUAUCUCUCUCAUUGCAGAAUUAUGCGGCAGAAGAAGAGCUAUGCUGUGUGUAUGUCCCAACAAACCAUCUAUACAUCGGUGACAUCUUUUUGGUCAAUGCCAAUGAUGUUAUAAGACCAAACUUGUCUGUCCGGGAAGGAAUUGGUAAGAGUUCCGCUUCUUUACUCACCAUGAUUACACUCUCUUCGUUUAAAGGAUGUACCUUAAUUAUUUUCCUCCUAAUGACUUUUUACCUUCGAACAAAUAAGCGUUCACUACAAUUCCACCUUCACGCACUAGCCACAUAUUAUAUCAAGAUUCUUCACUUAAUGUUGUUCUCUGUGUGUAACUGAUACUAUAUAUAAAUAUUAUCUGCCGACUUUUUACUUUGUUCCUUGCUCACAGAAAUUGUUGUAUCGGGUGGCAUGUCAAUGCCCCAAAUACUCUCUACCUUGGAUCCAAGAACUAUUCAGGUGGAUAGGAAUAGAUCUAACAGAAGCUGAGAUUGAAGACAUCAGAUGCAGCUGGUCGGAUUUCUCUAUACCUUUCUGUAUUGCAGAUUAAGUCGAUGAAUGGUAUGAGCACACAAUUCGCUUGUUUCGGCAUCUAAUCUGCAAUUAAUAUUUAAAUUAUUUUAAUUUUUCAAGUGUUAGAUUAUAAUCACAUGAUGUCCUAGUGUACAAUGUGGGGAAGUAGCAGUUGUGGAAAUAUAGUUUGCUAUGUUUUACGUAUUAAAAGAUUUAGUUGUUUAAGGUUAAAAGGAUCGUGUACUAAUGAGUUAGAAUUUAGUAACUUUUUCAUGAGCCUUGUGACACUCUUUUUGCAAUUAUAGUAAUGGUGGAUUCUUCGAUCCAUCUUCAUUAUCAAAUGUACUGACUGGUAUUA